ACUUGCUUUCUUUGCCGGCGACCGGCGCACGGGUGAGUAACACGUAUCCAACCUGCCCUUUACUCGGGGAUAGCCUUUCGAAAGAAAGAUUAAUACCCGAUAGCAUAAUGAUUCCGCAUAGUUUCAUUAUUAAAGGAUUCCGGUAAAGGAUGGGGAUGCGUUCCAUUAGGUUGUUGGUGGGGUAACGGCCCACCAAGCCUUCGAUGGAUAGGGGUUCUGAGAGGAAGGUCCCCCACAUUGGAACUGAGACACGGUCCAGACUCCUACGGGAGGCAGCAUG
rnacentral:rRNA from 1 species